GAAAACCUGCCAAAGAGGGAUAAGACAAUUCUGUGACUUUUCAUUAUGAUAUGUAAUUUAUAUUUGUGCAAAGAUGAUCACAAUCCUUACCAAACAGCCACAAGACAUACUGAUAUUCUUCUCAUCACAGGUGUGCGCAGCAAGUCAUACGCAGUGAAGGUUGACUUACUGGACUGCACUUCCUUUUGCAUCUGUAGAGGGCAAAAACAAAGUAGGGAGCACACACAGCCACAUGCAGCUUUCGCCAGUCCUUCAGGCUGUACGCCACUCCAGCCAGGACCAUCUGGCCAAAGGUGAAGAAGAAGGAGGACAGCGUCCCCACCACAGUGCGCGUCUUGCAGAGGACUGGUUGGGGACACUCACUGAGGGAGACAGAGUUGAGGAUGAUCCCUGACACGGCCAUGCCUGAUAAGAAACGGAACACACAGUAGGCCAGGUAGGAGGGGGCCAGUGCUGUGAACGUCCC